rnacentral:lncRNA from 1 species
CAUGAUUUUAUCUUACGACUUCAGAACAUGAGCGAUUCCGGCUUAUAGAAGAUCUAAUUCUAACCUAAACUAAAUCCCUGCACACACCGUACUCUAUUACUAAGAGAACUAUCUUGUUUUUCCAGUUUAGUUCGCUAAAUUUUUCAAAACACCAAAACUUUAGUCCUGAACGGAGGAAAAUGGUGAAGGACAUAUUCCGUCAAAUCUGAAUAAAGUUAUUCUAGGAAAAUGCUACAAUA